AACGAACGCUGGCGGCAGGCCUAACACAUGCAAGUCGAGCGCGCCCUUCGGGGUGAGCGGCGGACGGGUGAGUAACGCGUGGGAACGUGCCCUUUUCUACGGAAUAGCCUCGGGAAACUGAGAGUAAUACCGUAUACGCCCUUUGGGGGAAAGAUUUAUCGGAAAAGGAUCGGCCCGCGUUGGAUUAGGUAGAUGGUGGGGUAAUGGCCUACCAAGCCGACGAUCCAUAGCUGGUUUGAGAGGAUGAUCAGCCACACUGGGACUGAGACACGGCCCAGACUCCUACGGGAGGCAGCAGUGGGGAAUCUUAGACAAUGGGGGCAACCCUGAUCUAGCCAUGCCGCGUGAGUGAUGAAGGCCUUAGGGUUGUAAAGCUCUUUCAGCUGGGAAGAUAAUGACGGUACCAGCAGAAGAAGCCCCGGCUAACUCCGUG
rnacentral:rRNA from 1 species